GAGGUGGGCAAGCAGAGCAGUGGCCUGAAAGACUUUCACAUCAGGAAGAGUUGAAAAAUAUUUAGUCUACAAAAGAAAAUACCCAAGGGAGUGGGACAGCUGAACUCAAAUAUUUUAAGUGCUUUUAUGAGGGAGGAGUGAGAUUUUUGUGAAGUGCCAAAGAACAAAGUUAGGACCCAUGGGCAGAAAUCAUGAAAUUGGGCUCAGUUUAAGAACUUUCUUAUAAUGAGAUCUAUUGGACUGCGACAGGAGCUGCCUUUAGAUGCACUGUGUCCCAUGAACUGGAGGUUUGCAAGCCAGUAGAUGACAACCAGCUCCUCCCAAUCCAUCAAAUACUGUGACUCCUCUAACUGUAACUUGUACGUGGAAAUGGGACCCAGGGGCAGGGAGCCUCCCACGAAGGGAGAUUCAGAAGACCUGACCGCAAGCUCAGGAGACAGGAAGUUUCCCUGGCUUCCAGAACACUGCUGGGAGGCUCUUCGGGGGGCCCAAACUUCUGGGGACCAGCAGAAUGUGUGACCAUGGCUUGAAACUAAAAGAAAGGAGGAAGACAGGUUCCUCAAUUUGAGGCCUAAGUGUUCCUAGACUUCAUCCGGUGUUGGAGGAAGCCCUUGCUGCCAGGGAAGCCCCAGUGUGAAGACAGGACAUAGCAAACCUCAGGGAGACCCCGGGAUGAGGAAGAAGACAGCCCCACCCUCUGGAGCCUGCAGAGGGAAUGCAGUGGAGAGACACAGUCCUGGCCUUAAGGUUAUCCCCAGUUUGAGGAGAAAGAAAAGGUCCCUGGCCUCAGAAGAUCCCCAGUGCUAAUGUCCCCACAAAGUGUGAGGGUCUCCAUCGUACGCAUCUCUGUCCUCACCCUCUCCGGACUUGGAUUUUUUAAAGAUAUAGUACAAAAUACAAAAUGAAAAUCACAUCCAACUUACUCACCUUUAAAGAGCCCUGAUCAAAAUAUGACAAGUGUGUUUCUCCAGUCAUAUGUUGAGUACUCACCUGAAGUCUAACCCAGGCUGGAGUUAAAACAUCGACUCUGACACUCCAGUCUUUAUAUCAUCAUAUCUACCACCAACACAUCACCCACGUUUACCUUGACCCAGUUUCAAAUAUGAGAAUUUUAGAUUCAGAGGCAGAGCAGGGGUCAAGAACUGGCGUAGAGCCAGGCUCCUCAGAAUGUGGCCUGUCCCUGUUCACACGGCCCAGGCAAAGCCUCACCAGGGAACCAUGCUCCAGCUCCCUGCCCCACUCCAAUCCUGCAGACCCCAGGUGACAUUCCUGAGGCCACACAGCCUGAGUAAUGACACAGCUUAGUGGAGCUGACUCAUGGAAAGAGUUGCCCCAUGUGCAUUUGGAGGACAAGGACAGUUGUGCAAGGUGUUUGUGACAGGCCAUGAGGAGGGGCAGGACGUGAGGCAGCAAGAAGUACCAGUUGGUAAUUGUCAUUACUUCUACUAGAAUCUCCAGGUGACAAAUCUACCUCAGUGCCCAUAGCCCUAGAUGUUGCAAAGCAAAGCAGCACUUCCACCCACGGCCUCAAAGAGCAUUAAAGAGUCACUCUGUUUCAGCUCACAUGAAAUCAAACCAUCAGUCCAUCUGACUGCCCUCUGGAUCGCAGCUCUUGGCUAGGUACAAGAGCUGGGGAUAUGAGGUCUUUUCAGCCCCCUUAUCUGUGAAAGAAUGGGAUUGCACUAGAUGCUCUUUAUGGCUUCUUCCACCUAUGACAUCCAGUGGUUCUAAGCAGGUCUCAACAGGGACCCUGAAGUAUGUCAUACAUAUGUGACACAAGAGGGGAACCCACUCAGAGCACCCAAGUUCAAGGUCCCAAGAAAGGAAAGCCCAGUCUCCAGCUCCAUACUACAGGCUAGUGGCAAAUCCCUGGCACAAAGAAUGUUGGCAGUCAAAUACAAAUGUGAGGAUCGUUCAUCAAACUGGCAUGCUGUGUCCAUUCAUCUAUUCAUUCAUUUGAUAAGCAUUUAAUGGGAGCCUUCUAUGCCUGCUAUGGAGCCAGCUACUAGAUAUGCAGAAAAUAAUAGACAAAGCCACUCCCCUCAAGGGCCUCAAAGUCAACUGGCAGAGGCAGAGGCAGAAAGAGGAAGAAAAAAAAAGCAACAUGCUGAAAGAAAUACAAUGUUGGAGAAAUGUCCAGCUUAAAAGGGGCCAGGAGAGGGAUUGCCAAGGUGAGCGAGGAAUCAAAUUCACUGAAGACAUAGUUGAGCUGUUAACACUUAAAAGAAACUGGACUUGGAACCCCCACCAUCAACUUGGACUCUAAUUCAUGACAUAUAUGACCUUUGUACUCUCUGUUUCCUGACUUAUAAAAUGAAAGUACUGAAGUAUGUGCCCACAAAGCACAGAGUUCUGAAUACUAAAAAAAUUAAUAUAGUAGCUCCAAGCUUAAGCAUGGACUCAAAAACAAAAUAUAAUUCAAUCUCUACAGGUCAAAAUCAGCCAUGGGCUCAAGCACUAAGUAAGCUCAAUCCUUAAUGAGUGGCAACAUUCAAAUCUCAGUACAACUGCAACAUUUUAAGCAUUUAAGUGUUAGUAAAUGUCUUAGAAUUUCCUUGAUAAUUAUACUAAUAAUAUAAUAACACUGUUAGAUUAAAUGGAUUUGUGCCUUCCUGCCAUGCGUAGUUGAAAGACAGAUGAUGUAGCUCUAUAUCAUGAUUCAAAGUCUCAAGGGACUAGGUCCUAGAACCUAAUUAGUCAGAGAGUAUGGGUCAACAAUAAUUGAUAAUUCAUGAAAAUGGCUACCUUGGGUAAUUUCCUCCAAAAUUCAAUUGACUCAAUAAUUCCAUGGAGCAAACCUGUACAUUGUCCUGGAAAGAGUGGCAAUAGAGAUUGUAAUGGGAAACCAUUUGCAGCUAAUUCAAAACAAAGGAAUCCUGAGAGAAACCCUCAGCUCAUGAUCAGGGGAGCCUUGUACAGAAUUUUCUGAAACCAAGCAAAUGAUUUGCUUUCAGGACAAAAUAAUCUGUUUGUGCUGUGAAGCAGGAGAUUGGGGAUUCAGCCAAGGACCUCUGUAGGGGACACAGCUGACCCUAAGCUGCUUCCUACAGAAAGCCCAACCCUACCUGUGGGUGGAGCAAAGGCCUGGCCCCAUUCAGAGGCAGGUAGCUGUCCAUCUAGAAGAGUGCACUGGUUUGACUUCUCAAUUUUCAUACUAGAUUAUCAACCCUGCUACCUAUUCAUUUGAUUUCCAAAGCAUAUGUAAAUACAUUCAACAGCAUCUUCAAGAGCUUCAGGCAUGUAUCUGAGAGUGUAACUCUUAAUCCUCAUGGGUCCAGAGCUCAUCAGAAGGCUCAACUGAAAGAAUAAUGACUACCUUAACUAACAGUGUUGAUUAUUUAUGAUGUGCCGUCUCAUCUAAUUCAUACAACAGCUCUCUUCAGCAGGUACAAUCAUCUCCUCCAUCGUGAGAUUAGGACACCACCCUGAAGAGAUGUCAGCGUCAGAGAAUUAGAGAAGAGGUGUAGACAGGAUUUGAACCCAGCAGUUUGACUCUAAGCCUUUACUCCUAAACACUGGGAAUGGUAGUCUAAGGAAGUCACUAUCUAGAUACUAAUCCUUUCCUCUGAGUUCUAUCCAUGAGACAAGUUAGACAACUGUAAGACUAAAUAGUCAACUGCAUUAACCUAGUUGCUCAGAAAAUGGUCUUCCUUGGACUGAAACUUCAUGUGUUGACCUGAGAUUUUAUGCUAGUAUUAAUGAAAAUUGGCCAUGAAAAACUACUUCCACAUGUUACCACACUCUUGAUGGAUACUUGGUAUUCCGUGGCACUCAGUAUCUCCUCUGUAAGGUCCUACUGAUAGAUAUUUCUUAGGGAGAAAAAAAUAAGAUUUUCCCUAGCU
rnacentral:lncRNA from 10 species